rnacentral:rRNA from 14 species
ACAACUGUCACUUCUUAUGGACCCGAACCCGGGUGAUCUAACCAUGGCCAGGAUGAAGCCUAGGUAAUACUAUGUGGAGGUCCGAACCGACUGAUGUUGAAAAAUCAGCGGAUGAGUUGUGGUUAGGGGUGAAAUACCAAUCGAAUUCGGAGCUAGCUGGUUCUCCCCGAAAUGUGUUUAGGCGCAGCGGUUAAUAUUAUAGCUUAGAGGUAAAGCACUGUUUCGGUGCGGGCUGGUAAUUCGGUACCAAAUCGAGGCAAACUCUGAAUACUAAGUGAACAGUUAACCAGUAAGACUGUGGGGGAUAAGCUUCAUAGUCAAGAGGGAAACAGCCCAGAUCACCAGUUAAGGCCCCUAAAUAAUUAUUAAGUGGUAAAGGAGGUGGGAAGACUCAGACAGCCAGGAGGUUUGCUUAGAAGCAGCAAUCCUUUAAAGAGUGCGUAAUAGCUCACUGGUGGAGCGUUCUUGCGCCGAAAAUGAACGGGACUAAGCGGUCUGCCGAAGCUGUGGGUAAUAUCAGUAUUUGAUAUUACGGUAGGGGAGCGUUCCGCUCUAGGGUGA